UACGUAGGGUGCAAGCGUUGUCCGGAAUUAUUGGGCGUAAAGAGCUCGUAGGCGGUUUGUCGCGUCUGCUGUGAAAACUCGGGGCUUAACCUCGGGCCUGCAGUGGGUACGGGCAGACUAGAGUGCGGUAGGGGAGACUGGAAUUCCUGGUGUAGCGGUGAAAUGCGCAGAUAUCAGGAGGAACACCGGUGGCGAAGGCGGGUCUCUGGGCCGUAACUGACGCUGAGGAGCGAAAGCGUGGGGAGCGAACAGG
rnacentral:rRNA from 1 species